UACGUAGGUGGCUAGCGUUGUCCGGAUUUACUGGGCGUAAAGAGCGCGCAGGCGGUCGUUCAAGUCGAGUGUGAAAGCCCCCGGCUCAACUGGGGAGGGUCACGCGAUACUGAUCGACUCGAAGGCAGGAGAGGGAAGUGGAAUUCCCGGUGUAGUGGUGAAAUGCGUAGAUAUCAGGAGGAACACCGGUGGCGAAGGCGGCUUUCUGGACACUUACUGACGCUGAGACGCGAAAGCGUGGGGAGCAAACAGG
rnacentral:rRNA from 1 species